GGUGAGGUGGGUGAGUGGCUGAAACCACCAGUUUGCUAAACUGGCGUGCGGAUUAAACCGUACCGGGGGUUCGAAUCCCCCUCUCACCG
rnacentral:tRNA from 2 species